rnacentral:ncRNA from 1 species
AAAACGGCCCUUUUUAGGGCCACCAAAGAAUUAUAAACGUACAAU